rnacentral:rRNA from 1 species
GACGAACGCUGGCGGCGUGCUUAACACAUGCAAGUCGAACGGAAAGGCCCUUCGGGGUACUCGAGUGGCGAACGGGUGAGUAACACGUGGGUGAUCUGCCCUGCACUUUGGGAUAAGCCUGGGAAACUGGGUCUAAUACCGAAUAGGACCACGCGCUUCAUGGUGUGUGGUGGAAAGCUUUUGCGGUGUGGGAUGGGCCCGCGGCCUAUCAGCUUGUUGGUGGGGUAAUGGCCUACCAAGGCGACGACGGGUAGCCGGCCUGAGAGGGUGACCGGCCACACUGGGACUGAGAUACGGCCCAGACUCCUACGGGAGGCAGCAGUGGGGAAUAUUGCACAAUGGGCGCAAGCCUGAUGCAGCGACGCCGCGUGAGGGAUGACGGCCUUCGGGUUGUAAACCUCUUUCAAUAGGGACGAAGCGCAAGUGACGGUACCUAUAGAAGAAGCACCGGCCAACUACGUGCCAGCAGCCGCGGUAAUACGUAGGGUGCGAGCGUUGUCCGGAAUUACUGGGCGUAAAGAGCUCGUAGGUGGUUUGUCGCGUUGUUCGUGAAAACUCACAGCUUAACUGUGGGCGUGCGGGCGAUACGGGCAGACUAGAGUACUGCAGGGGAGACUGGAAUUCCUGGUGUAGCGGUGGAAUGCGCAGAUAUCAGGAGGAACACCGGUGGCGAAGGCGGGUCUCUGGGCAGUAACUGACGCUGAGGAGCGAAAGCGUGGGGAGCGAACAGGAUUAGAUACCCCGGUAGUCCACGCCGUAAACGGUGGGUACUAGGUGUGGGUUCCUUCCUUGGGAUCCGUGCCGUAGCUAACGCAUUAAGUACCCCGCCUGGGGAGUACGGCCGCAAGGCUAAAACUCAAAGGAAUUGACGGGGGCCCGCACAAGCGGCGGAGCAUGUGGAUUAAUUCGAUGCAACGCGAAGAACCUUACCUGGGUUUGACAUGCACAGGACGCCGGCAGAGAUGUCGGUUCCCUUGUGGCCUGUGUGCAGGUGGUGCAUGGCUGUCGUCAGCUCGUGUCGUGAGAUGUUGGGUUAAGUCCCGCAACGAGCGCAACCCUUGUCCUAUGUUGCCAGCGGGUUAUGCCGGGGACUCGUAGGAGACUGCCGGGGUCAACUCGGAGGAAGGUGGGGAUGACGUCAAGUCAUCAUGCCCCUUAUGUCCAGGGCUUCACACAUGCUACAAUGGCCGGUACAAAGGGCUGCGAUGCCGUGAGGUGGAGCGAAUCCUUUCAAAGCCGGUCUCAGUUCGGAUCGGGGUCUGCAACUCGACCCCGUGAAGUCGGAGUCGCUAGUAAUCGCAGAUCAGCAACGCUGCGGUGAAUACGUUCCCGGGCCU